ACUCCUACGGAAGGCAGCAGUGGGGAAUAUUGGACAAUGGGGGNAACCNUGAUCCAGCCAUGCCGCGUGAGUAAAGAAGGCCUUAGGGUUGUAAAGCNCUUUCACNGGUNAANAUAAUGACGGUACCCACANAAGAAGCCCCGGCUAACUCC
rnacentral:rRNA from 1 species